AACGAACGCUGGCGGCAUGCCUAACACAUACAAGUCGAACGAGACCUUCGGGUCUAGUGGCGCACGGGUGCGUAACGCGUGGGAACCUGCCCUUAGGUUCGGAAUAACUCCCCGAAAGGGGUGCUAAUACCGGAUAAUGUCUUCGGACCAAAGAUUUAUCGCCUUUGGAUGGGCCCGCGUUGGAUUAGCUAGUUGGUAGGGUAAAAGCCUACCAAGGCGACGAUCCAUAGCUGGUCUGAGAGGAUGAUCAGCCACACUGGGACUGGGACACGGCCCAGACUCCUACGGGAAGCAGCAGUGGGGAAUAUUGGACAAUGGGCGAAAGCCUGAUCCAGCAAUGCCGCGUGAGUGAUGAAGGCCUUAGGGUUGUAAAGCUCUUUUACCCGGGAUGAUAAUGACAGUACCGGGAGAAUAAGCUCCGGCUAACUCCGUG
rnacentral:rRNA from 1 species